AUGUUGCUUGUUUUUCCUGGUAAUUAUUGCAAGAAAUGGCAUCUACUUUUUUGUUAUAUAUACUCAUCAAUAUUUCAUUUGCAAAUGAAGUAGCACUUCAUGAAUUCUUAUAUAACCUUCAUUCAGCCAGAAUAUGCUCUCAAUAUGAUACAUAAUAAUCUCAGAAGUCUGGAUAAUAAAUUAUCUCAGAUGCUUUCUCUGAGGUCUGUAGAAAAAUUGGAGUCCCUAGCCACAGAGGUUAAUUGCUGAUACUGUCCCCCACCUACCUUUGUUCUGAUAAGCUUUCACUUGCUUUAACCAUCUGUCUCUACCACUUUGCCACUUCAGAGAUCUAUUAUAUUAGAGCCUUACAAUGCCAUUCUGGUAUUUCUUUCUCUUCUCUCUCUCUCUUUUCCUUCCUUCUUUCCUUCCUUCCUUCCUUCCUUCCUUCCUUCCUUCCUUCCUUCCUUCCUUCUUUCCUUCCUUCCUUCUUCCCUCUCUCUCUUUCUUCCCUGUUUGUGGUCCCCUCUGCCAUGAAAUAUGAGGCAAAUUUCAUAAAGUGAGACUUGAAUUUUCCUUUGACACAUCACCAUGUGCUUCUGCAAAACCUUCCUUCUCUGCAACCCAUGGAGUAAUUUACUGCCCUGAACAGUUUUUUGCCCUGUGGUAAAAGUCUUCGAUCAAGGGUUUCUAUCCCUCUUUGGUCAAGUCCUACAAUCCUGCCUACAAGUCCUCCUGACUUCUGCCCUCUUGGUAUAUGACAGAGACAUUUCUGACUUGGUGACUAAAAGUUCUCAAGACAAAUAUGGUAACAGAAUCCUUUCCGUGGCUGAGACAAUGCUAUGUGUUCAUUCGAUUAUCUUUCUAAGUACACCUACCAACUGCAAAACGGGCUCUAGCUGUUUUCUGCGACAUGAUUCCACACUCACCUGAUCCAUGAUGAUUGGACCAGUCAUCAACACAAUAUGGAGUCACCUGUCCAGAAAUUAGGCCUGGGCAGAACAACUUCAGACUACAAGACCUUUACCAAAAGCAGAUGUUGUGAAGUCGGAUGAAGCCAUCAUUCAGACAUGUGGAAUGUCCAAAACUGUCAUUUUUUGGCAACCAUAAGUCUGCUCUGGUAUCUCGAUUCAGAGACAUGGACUAUUUUCUGCAGGAUUGUAUUAUAAAUAGUUCAUUUAAAUCUCAAAAUUACAAAGACUGUUUAAACUUGUAUUUGGGGUCUAACAUGAAUAAUCACUAGUUCUAUUUUUCUAUUUUUAGUUCUUAUCAGAUUGGCAAAUAGUGUAUAUUAGAUCAUAUUAAGUUUUAUUUAAUAUUAUGGAAACUAUUUUAUAAGUUACAUGUGAGUAUCAUAUAUUUUUGGAUGGUAAAGUGUGUUAAGUUUGGGGAUAUUAUUAUUAGUGUUUUUGAGUAAUAUCUGAAGCCAUACCUUAAAUUCCAACUGGCGCCGAGGUAGACUAAUUAAAAAGCAUAAAGUGGU